CCAGAGAGUAUGUGAAGAAGGUAUUGUCUGUCCCAGAGGGUAUGUGAAGAAGGUAAUGUCUGUCCCAGAGGGUAUGUGAAGAAGGUAUUGUCUGUCCCAGAGAGUAUGUGAAGAAGGUAUUGUCUGUCCCAGAGAGUAUGUGAAGAAGGUAUUGUCUGUCCCAGAGGGCAUGUGAAGAAGGUAUUGUCUGUCCCAGAGGGUAUGUGAAGAAGGUAUUGUCUGUCCCAGAGGGUAUGUGAAAAAGGUAUUGUCUGUCCCAGAGGGCAUGUGAAGAAGGUAUUGUCUGUCCCAGAGGGCAUGUGAAGAAGGUAAUGUCUGUCCCAGAGGGUAUGUGAAGAAGGUAUUGUCUGUCCCAGAGGGUAUGUGAAGAAGGUAAUGUCUGUCCCAGAGGGUAUGUGAAAAAGGUAUUGUCUGUCCCAGAGGGCAUGUGAAGAAGGUAUUGUCUGUCCCAGAGGGUAUGUGAAGAAGGUAAUGUCUGUCCCAGAGGGUAUGUGAAGAAGGUAAUGUCUGUCCCAGAGGGCAUGUGAAGAAGGUAUUGUCUGUCCCAGAGGGUAUGUGAAGAAGGUAUUGUCUGUCCCAGAGGGUAUGUGAAGAAGGUAUUGUCUGUCCCAGAGGGUAUGUGAAGAAGGUAUUGUCUGUCCCAGAGGGUAUGUGAAGAAGGUAUUGUCUGUCCCAGAGGGUAUGUGAAGAAGGUAUUUUUGUC